rnacentral:rRNA from 1 species
CAGUCGACGGGAUCUUCGGAUUCUAGUGGCGGACGGGUGAGUAACGCGUAAGAAUCUAACUUCAGGACGGGGACAACAGUUGGAAACGACUGCUAAUACCCGAUGUGCCGCAAGGUGAAACCUAAUUGGCCUGGAGAAGAGCUUGCGUCUGAUUAGCUAGUUGGUGGGGUAAGAGCCUACCAAGGCGACGAUCAGUAGCUGGUCUGAGAGGAUGAGCAGCCACACUGGGACUGAGACACGGCCCAGACUCCUACGGGAGGCAGCAGUGGGGAAUUUUCCGCAAUGGGCGAAAGCCUGACGGAGCAACGCCGCGUGAGGGAGGAAGGUCUUUGGAUUGUAAACCUCUUUUCUCAAGGAAGAAGUUCUGACGGUACUUGAGGAAUCAGCCUCGGCUAACUCCGUGCCAGCAGCCGCGGUAAUACGGGGGAGGCAAGCGUUAUCCGGAAUUAUUGGGCGUAAAGCGUCCGCAGGUGGUCAGCCAAGUCUGCUGUCAAAUCAGGUUGCUUAACGACCUAAAGGCGGUGGAAACUGGCAGACUAGAGAGCAGUAGGGGUAGCAGGAAUUCCCAGUGUAGCGGUGAAAUGCGUAGAGAUUGGGAAGAACAUCGGUGGCGAAAGCGUGCUACUGGGCUGUAUCUGACACUCAGGGACGAAAGCUAGGGGAGCGAAAGGGAUUAGAUACCCCUGUAGUCCUAGCCGUAAACGAUGGAUACUAGGCGUGGCUUGUAUCGACCCGAGCCGUGCCGAAGCUAACGCGUUAAGUAUCCCGCCUGGGGAGUACGCACGCAAGUGUGAAACUCAAAGGAAUUGACGG